rnacentral:tRNA from 1 species
GCGGUCGUAGCUCAAUUGGAUAGAGCAACAGGCUUCGAACCUGUAGGCUGGGGGUUCGAGCCCCUCCGACCGCG